rnacentral:lncRNA from 1 species
GUCCUCAUCUAGUGUUUUAGAACUUUUUUCCCACUGAAACCCAUAAAACUCUGCCAUUUUCACUUUAAGAUCCAGCUUGUUUAACAGCUACAUUGCUGUGAGUUUUUCAGGCUGUAUGUUCCAGUAGCAUUCUCUCCUGAAGUUUCGCCUAUCUCUGUGGCCGGCAUCUUCAGAGGUCUCUUCGACAACUGGUUUUUUCCUUGAAAAUAAAAGUAACUGAGAGACCAACUCUCUUUAGUUUUCUUUCAACUAUAGCCAAAGAAACUAUUCAAGCAGGCCAUCUACUUGAAUUGCUUCCUUCCUAUAUCAUCAAUAUAAGGAUUUUAAUUUUUAGUUGCUUUUUUCUCUUCCUUCUCAAUCCCGUACUCCUUGUGUAUCAUUUCUUAAAUAAAUGUAGAUUGCAAAACUUUAACAACAUGUAAAAGGAUUGUCAUGCUACUUAUGUUUUUUAUGCUGUGCUAGAAGUCUUUUGUGGCAGAAGCAGGGGUUUAAAUGUUUGAAAUAAAUUCCCCAAUUCUAAAUUUUAAAUAGCACUCUCCUCAGAACUCAAAGGAUAUAAAAUAUAACUACAGAACCUUGCAAACAGAUUUCCAUAGUCCUACACCAAAUCUAGGUCUAAGGCUAUAGACCUAGGUUUGGCCAUGGUUGUACAAUGGGUUAAACUCUUGUUCUGCUAAACUGCUGGCCUGAAGGUUGGUACAGUAGAGUCUCACUUAUCCAACAUAAAUGGGCCGGCAGAAUGUUGGAUAAGCGAAUAUGUUGGAUAAUAAGGAGAGAUUAAGGAGAAGCCUAUUAAACAUCAAAUUUGGUUAUGAUUUUACAAAUUAAGCACCAAAACAUCAUGUUAUACAACAAAUUUGACAGAAAAAGUAGUUCAAUACGCAGUAAUGCUAUGUAGUAAUUACUGUAUUUACGAAUUUAGCACCAAAAUAUCACAAUAUAUUGAAAACAUUGACUACAAAAAUGCGUUGGAUAAUCCAGAAUGUUGGAUAAGCGAGUGUUGGAUAAGUGAGACUCUACUGUAUUAUUAUUAGCCCACUUUUACCUCUAUGCUCCACAUGUUCCCUUACUAUUAAUACUACUAUUAUUAGCCCACUUUAACCUCUAUGCCCCUCAUGUUCCCUUCCAAUUCUUCUUCUUCUUUUUCUUCCUCCUCCUCCUCCUCUUCUUCUUAUUAGCCCACUUUUACUUCUACCGUGUUUCCCCAAAAAUAAGACAGUGUCUUAUAUUAAUUUUUGCUCCCAAAGAUGCUCUAGGUCUUAUUUUCAGGGGAUGUCUUAUUUUUCUAUGAAGAAGAAUUUA